GACAAAUAAUUUUCUAUUUUAAAUCAAUACAUGUAUGUUCUUUCAUCCUCAUAUGACAAAUAUUGUGAUGAAGGGAUAAAAUUUAUGAAUGGGGAGAUCAGCAUUCAAGAAGGAAAAAGCAAGUUUUCCAAGAUGCAAAGAGAACAAGAAAUCGGAAAGAGACAGGGAGGAAACAAAAUCAGAAAGUAGAUGCCAUCUAAGACAUAUUGAAUUGACAAAAAGCUGCAGUGAUCUGUAAGUUAGAAAGAGAGUGUAUGGCGUGCAUCAUCAGGAAACAAAAUUAUCACUAAUCCAUCAACAUGGAUAGGCUUGGAAUGACCAACCAUAAUUAGAAUAUAGAAUCACUACGUAAUAAUUUUAUUGGAUAAUUCCUACCAACUAUCUUGCAUAAGAUUUGAGUGAGAAGUAAUUACCAACAUCAAGUUGUCUUGAUGAUUGCUCAAUGCCGUCAUCCUGACCCAAUUUUUGCCGUUUUGUCGGUGCAUCAAUUGAAACAUACCCAGCAUCUAUUUCAUCUUCAUCGUCAUCAGCCAACUUAACAGGGGGUGGUACUAGCUUUGACUUUUGUUUCAAGCUGAAAGCAAGUUUGCCACUGGAACCACCCUGUGAAGAUUUCUUUGCAUCAUUAGCCUUACUAAUGGAGGGUUUGGGAGUCAGAGGUCCUGAAACAACUUUAAUUGGUUUAGAGUCCUCUGGCUUGGCAUUUUUCCCCCUCUCCUGCUCUUGUUGGAGCUGCCUGAACCUCUCCAUAAACGAACCAUCAUUGACAAAGAGGGUAGGAGGUGGUCCCUUGUCCAUUGGUUAAGGUCCAAAAUAAAUAAUGUGGCUUUCAGCAACUCACUGUUUGACAAAAAAGCUGCAAAGCUUUUUAGAUGUUGCAGUUAAAUUUAAAGUCAUGGUUUCUUUCUAUCCAAUAUGUGGUGUCAUUUAAACCUUCAAAGAGAUAAUAGUGUUGUAUAUUUAUGUACAAAUAUAUAACAUAGGUCANAGAUGUUGAUCCAAAUUAUUGGAGUCAUAAGAGAUGUCUAAGUUGUUAAGUUGUUAAGAUGUUGAGUCCAUUACAUACUCAUUUACGUUGGGUGAGGGUUUGAUGCUCUGUAAUGUAUAUUUAUACAUAAUAUGUGAAGGGAAAGGACUUGAUGCUCUGUGAGCCUAUUUACGCUCAAUAUGUUGGGGGCUUGAUGCACUGGUUGGUACCAUAUGCAUGAUUAAGAAGUUGAAGUUGCGUUGUCGUUGUCGUUAAGUUGUCAUUUGUCAAUGAGUUGUUAAUAAAGAACUAAGUGAAAUAUUAAUAUUUAUUAAUCGUUGUUGUUUAAGUUAUUAUGAGAUGAUAAAUAUGUGUUGUUAUAUUAUGAUGAGAUGAUGAAUAUGUUGUUGCUAUAUUAUUAUAAGAUGAUGAAUAUGUGUUGUUGUAUUAUUAUAAAAUGAUGAAUAUGUGUUGUUUAUAUCAUUAUAAGAUGAUGGUUAUGUUGUGUUGUAUAUGAUUAUUAUUAUUAUUAUUAAGUGAUGAUUAUGUUGUGUGGUCUAAGUUAUUAUGAGAUGAUUAUUAUGUUGUGUGUUAAAGAUGAUAUUUAUGAUAUGAUGAUCUAUGUUGGUUAUGAUUUGGUUAUUAUGUGCUAUAUGACGAAGUUUAUAAUGCGAUGAAUAUGAAGUUAAUGAUAAUUAAAAGUUGUUGAGUUAUGAAGAAUCAUUACAUAAAGGAUUAUUAUUACUAAUAGAUGAAGUUAUUUAUGUUGUUAUCCCAAAUUGUAUGUCACUUUAGAAAAAAUAUUUGUCCCAAAUUAUAUGUCGCUUUACAAUACCAAUGAAACAUUAAUGUUAUUUUUCUUAUUAUAUCCUUAACUAUUUAUUACUCUUUCUUUUUUCAAUUCUUUCAUUUAUCUUUCCCAUAUCAUAUAUUAAGGACAAUUUUGUAAAACAACUCAUAAUAUCUCUUUCCCACACAAUAUUAAUUCCAUUUCUUAAUAUGUGUGAAAUGCCCAAAACGUCAUACAAUUUGGGACGGAGGGAGUAUAAUUAAUGAAUUAUAUGUUUGAUAUUAUUGUUUUGUGAUAUUAUUAAUGAAUUAAAUUGUAUUUAAGCUUUGAAAUCUAUAAACCUGUCAUUUAACUUCUUUUAUUGAGAUGUCGUUUCCAUCAAAGUCAGAAAGAAAAAAAAAAUGAAUUUUCAACAUUGGCGCGAGAGGGAUACAAGGCAAUAAUGUUAACAGAGAAUUGGCAAAGGCUACGGUAGGAGACUUGAUUUUAUUUUUUUUGUUUUUGUUGCAAAAUGAAUGUUAAUCAUUAGAUGUAUUUUAAAAGUUUUUAAUGGUUGAGAUUUUCAUGUUUUAUCACUUUCUAAGAUUCCAAUUUUUAAACAUAUAAAUUGAAUUAAAAAAGGAAAUUGAUUUUGAAAUCACAAUUAACAAAAGGGUAGUUUUGGCAUUGUUGGAAAAAUGUUCCUCUUGUUAUUCUCUCACUGUAGAAUUGUUCUCUCUGUUUGGUUGUUUGUUUUUACCGAUCUAACUGAUGGCAUAUUUCUUUUCUAGUAUUCAUGCUGAUUUGUUGUGCUACGGUCGAAGGUAAAUGGUAGAAAUCUUCCCGUCGGCGGCUCCGGCGAGAGAGAUAAUAAUAUUUCUCUGUGUGAAUAAAUAUUUCUCAGAUUGAUAAGGAAUCUAGUUAUAUGAUGAAUUGAGACCCGUAUGAAAAUACUAUGUGAAAUGUAGUAACUUCCGUGAAAAAUAAAGCUUAUUACCACGUUUGUUUUUGCAAAAACCCUAAAAAAUAUAAUUGCGGUUGACAAGUGGAUUUGUAAAAUAAGUAUGUGCCUUCUCCUUGCCUUUCAAAUCCGAGCAAAAAUAUGUAAAGUUCGUUGAAUUUCAUCGAGUAUCGAGCGAGAUCCAAUUACAUACGUUUAUCUCUUUCUCUAGAUCUAACAUGAAAUGAAGGAAAAUAUGAAUUUCCUAUACUGUGUUGGAACAAAAUGUAUCUAGCAAUAAUAAUCCUUGAGUUUUGAUGAUAACAAAGUAUUAAAAAUUGUCAAUUGAAUAUGCUAAUAUUUUUUCAAGUGUACAUACUAUAGACAAAAUUUGACAUCUUAAAUUGGUCUUGAAAGAACAAAUAAAGAGCAAGUACAUCAACAAAAAGGGAAGCUUAAAGCGUCUGAAGAAAACUGCUCCUGAAGUUUGAAGUGCUCCUGAAGACAAAGUGCUCCUGAAGUAAUGACGUCAUCAGAAGCAAGUUCAUCAGAAGCUGUGUAUCACCAGAAGCUACAGUUCAUCAGGAGAUGGAACUUAAAGUUUUCAAAAGCUGUUUCAAGGACUCUAACUCGCCUAGAAAUUGCAGAAGAUUAGAAAAGUAUGACAACGGCUAUUUUGAAACGCAUUGGAUGCUUAUUCUUCAAAGAGUGUUGACAUAGUACGUUUGUACGAAGUGUACAACCACUACUUCCACUACUCUGUUUUUGUCCCUGCUACAAGACAAGGAUAACAGCUCUGCCUGCAACAAUGUUUAUUCACAUUGGGAACACAUUUGAAAUUGAUCCUUCAUAAGACAAUAACCAUAUCAGGCAAAUGAUCAUUGGUGAUAGAUCAAAAGCUUCAAACGACUCUAUUUUGAAUGUGAUGACAUUUCAACGUCUCUUUCACACCUCUAUAUAAAGGAGUGAAGACUCAGAGUUACACAAGAACAAUACUACGCAUCAGCUAAGCCAAAACUCUGUUGAAAUUGUUCUCCACUUCAAAGUUCACUUAGAAUUUCUUAACAAAGCUUAUAUCUUAGGAAUUCUAGAGUCUGUAUCAGAUUUGUAUUGUGAACACCACUGAUUGUAUAUCAAGUGUUCAACCUCAAACAUUUUUCUUUGUAAUUCUGUUUGAAUUAAGAAGUCUAUUGCAGUUGUGCUUGAGCAAUAGAAGUCUCUUGAUUGUGUUCAGGAGCAUAGGAAGUCUCUUGCAGUUGUGCUUGAGCAAUUUGAAGUCUUUUACUAAGUUUAGUAGUGAGCAUUUGCAAUCAGAUAUUACAUAGUGAACUCCCCUUGAAAGUGCAAGGGGGACAUGACCGACUUCCGAUUUGUGGAAGGAACCUGUAUAAAUUGUUUGUGUCUUUCUUCUCUCUUUCUCUCUGUUUUAUCCGCUGCAUUUAGUUCUGAACAUCUCUUCAGAAGUAGAACUCUAUCUGCUUCUAAACUACUUGUUUCAGAUAGAAGAAAAAGAAGAAAAAGCUAACACAAUUCAACCCCCCUUCUUGUGUUUUUCUCACCUUCAUAGUGUCUCUGUAAUAUUCAUACCAUUAAAAUGUGUAUGAAAUUAUUAUAAGAAUCAUUUAUAUCUUUUUUACUUUUAUAAUAGGUAAAUAAUGUACCUAACCUGCAAAAAAAACAGGUCAUUUAAGCUUAAAAAAAAAAAAAUUGAAGUCUCUCAUGGUAGGAGACCUAUUGAAGUCUCCCACCCUAAACGGCACCCAGAGAAUUGUAUAAUACAUGUUAUGAUGUUGUUGGGACAUCUAAUUCUGUCAAAUUUAGUUUUUAUUGGUGAGCAUAGGUGAUGGUGAUGAAUGCAGGAAAAUAAUAUUACACAGUUGACAGUUCCAACUUCCAAUAAUUCUGCCGAAGUUUUCAAUUGAUCUUGCACAAAGAUAACAUUUGUUUGCAGUAAAAGAAGUUAUCAAAAGAGGAGAAGUGAAAAAACAGAACCUCUCUCUUUGCCUUUAGUUCCUUUUUUUUUUUUUGUCAAGUAGCUUAGUGGCUCUUUCUCUUUAGUUCCUAAUCAAGACUAAAAUUAUUUAACAUUUGAUAGAUUGCUGAUCCACAAGAGAAAACCAUCUUUUUAAUAUGCAGGGUGGAUAGACAGUUGAUCAUGAAAUUGAAAGAAUAUUUUAUUCUUUAAGGAUGUCAUUUACAUGGCAUUGGUAAGUGAUCUUUAGUCAUUUAAAUAACAUUGGCACUCAAAACAGUCAAAAGGAAUAAGAGAUUUUCUUGACACUUAAUGCAUAUUGGUAGCAUCAUGAAGUUCCCACAUAUUGCUAUCACAAUAUGCAUAUUCUACCCAACUUUUCUGCCAUUGGUGCCGAUCUGAGUUUGAGGUAAAGUUCAUGAGCCGUAUAGUCUCGAAUGAAGUUGGUUUUUUUCUACCUUAGAGGUUUUUUUCUUCCUUAAUUUCUGACUUUUUCACAGAGCAAUCUGCAACUACAUCCUUUUUACCAAGCUCAGACCUUUUCUCCAAGAAUUCGGUGUUCUCUUUCCAGACCUCGCCAUUUGAAUAAACCUCUUUUUUCCAAAUAGGAACUGUUGCUUUUAUCUCAUCUAUCAAAUAUCUACAUGCCUCAAGCGCAUCAGCCCUGUGGACAGAUGACACUGCAAUGAAGACACUCGUUCCUCCAACAGGUACUGUACCUAGCCGGUGAGCAACAGCAACGGAAUGUAGAUUCCAGGAUUCUCUAGCAGAUGAACAGACGGACUUGAUACAACGUAUUGCCAUUGGAAUGUAAGCUUCGUAUAUCAACUCCACAACUGUUUUUCCGUCAAAAGUGUCACGAGUGGUGCCUGAAAAUGUAGCUACAGCACCAGCUUGUGGGGCACUGACAAAAUUCAUAUAUUUAGCAACAUCGAUUGAGUUCAAGUUUUCAACGAUUUCAAUAAGAUCCUUAUCAUCUUCGGCAGCCAUUUUCUACAAGAAGAUUAGAUAAUAUGCUGACGAAUUGUGAAUAUCUUCUGGUUUCAGGGACUUUUCUUUCGGCAAAGAUAAAAGCGGAUGAGAUCAGCAGUUCAUCCUACAAAUUGAUUACAGCUUCUCAUAUCAGGUACACAAGACAUUAUGAAAAUCAUGCAAACAUCGAGUUAUAUUGUCCACAAUCAGCAUCAAAUAACAAAUAAAAUACAAAAUGCAAAAAAUAAACAAAAACAAAAUGCAUGUCAUAAGAAAAAUAUGUAUUACAGACCCUUCAAAAUAGGGAGUUUGAUUUCACCUAAACUUGACGUUUAGUAUUUGAAGAUUUGUCAACAUGAAAAUGGCUGGUCAAACUGAUGGCUUUUCAAUAUAAGGUACUCCGACCAUUUCACCAAGUAUUGGAAUUCCUUAAUUCCCUCGGAGGAAAAUACACCAGUUGAUAAUUUAUGUUACCUAUGAUUAACUACACACCGUUUACGUCAUAUGAUCUGAACUCUGAAAUGUAAAUGAGUUUUGGGUUAAAAAAUUGUAAUCUGUGUUAAGACAUCCAGGAACCAGCAGAGCCGCAACCAAUUUUAAUGGUUUGUUAGGAACCAAAGAAAUUGAAUUUAAAGAAAGACAAACUUGUAUUACUGAAAAACUCGUUAGAAGCCAAACAAAUUAAUUACUGUAUUGUUUUAAUGAGAAAUAAAGGGCACAGAUUAAUUUCAUUUUCUUUUCUACUUUUUUUGUUUGUAUAAUGUUUAUUGACUGAUCACAAAUCAUCAUAAUGAUCACGUGUAGUUCUUAAAAUGAUUAAAAUAUUAUGAAUUUGUUUCUCAAACUCCUUACAAAAUAAUGCAGGAACAUGAUUAAAAGAUGAAAAAUGUAGUGCCUAAAAUUGUUUCUCAAACUCCUUACAAAAUAAUGUGGUGAUUACUAGUUAUAAACUUAUAAUGCAAGAACUCUUACACUCAACACUGCCGGUGUAUUUGGCAACAGCCAUUGCGAAUAGAAUAUAUCUUAAGUCCAAGAUUUUCUUCUUGGAAAAAUCAUUGCAGUCCACAAAUAAAAAACAAAACCCAUUAGAUACUAUAUGAUAUAUCCAUUUAGACUUAACAUUAUUAGUCUAUUUAUUAAAUCAUAUGGACAUAUAAUUGGGGCAAAGACUCGCAGUUCAGUAGCUAGCUCAUAUGAACAAAGAUUUUCAAUACUUGGUUUUGCUUGUAUAUCACCAACAUACACAGUCCAAAUACAAAUAAAGAUUAAAAAGGAAAAAAAGAAAGGGAGCAUGCAUGCCUGAAAAGCUCAGUGGAAGCUGGCAUGGAUUCACCAUAGUUCUUAGCAUUACUUACAGGGCUGUCUCUAUGAAAUUUCUGGCAUGGCUCUCAUAGUAAAACUGGACCCUUAAUAAAAUAAAGAUGCAAUUGGUUCUUAAAAGAGUAAUCUUCUAUUUAAAUUGAAAAGAGUACCCUUAAACAUAAAAAAAGCUAAUUUCUAUCGCACUUCUCUCCAUUUGAUAAAGUUCUAGUAUACAAAUUAGCCGUAAAACCCUUCACAGUAGUAAAGUCUCUUUUAGGGCCUUUUGUAGCUACUAACUCAUACAGAAACGCAUACAGAUUCAAGACAGUGAGUGAAAUUUCACAUUUUCAAACUAACAUUCAAACGAACAGUGAAAUUUGACACACCAUAUGUCCAUAAUAGUAUAAUAAAUUAAUUUUUUUUCAACAAAAUUAGCAACAAAAACUAACAAGAUUAUAACCAAACAGUAAAAUUUCACAAUUUGCAAAUACACUGAAAUCAACAUAAUAACAGUGAAAUUAGCAAAGAAUAAUAAUAAGUAAUUAGCAAUUAGACAAGAGGAAAGAAGAACCAAUUUUCAAACUAACCUUCAAUUUCAAUUUCCCUUUCCCGUUUUUCCUCUUCAAUUCUGUUUUCCACUUUUGUUGGAUUGGGGGUGAGGUGAUGAGUAAGGCGGCGUGUGGCAGUGGUGAUGGUGGUGGGAGAGGAUGCGGCGGAGAGUGGUGGAAGAAGAAAGAAGAGCCUUGAUUACUUGUUGAAGUGAGUUCAAUGUUCUCUGCAUCAAAUUAACCAAUCCAAUGAAGAAGCAUAAACCAGUUAACAAACAUAACAAAAGUAGCCAAAUCCACCCAUCUAAGUGUAUGUUUGGUUCAAAGUGAUAUAAUGCAUUGCAUAUGAAUUUAACAAGUAAAAAUUUAUUACCUCUAAAUCUCAUUAAUACAAUCUAUGUUGAAUAACUUCAUGAAACAAUGAAAAUUAAUAUCAACACUGUCCAAAAACAUGCACAAGUAAUCUUAAUAGAACAAACCCAGUUGAAGAAAAACAAAAUUAAAACUACCCAGUUGAAUUCAACUACAUAACAAAGCUUCAAAGUCAAUCACAGUUCAGAAAAUCGAUCUAAAAGUUUAAUUUUUAAUAAAAAUUCACAAUUGAAGAAAAAUUAAAAGUUCAUAUAAUCAGUAUUUGAGUCAAUCGAUACGUACCCGAUUGAAGAAAAUUGACAAACAAUCAACGAUCUUAGAACAUCGGAGAAUCAGAUAGAAAGAAAAAAAAAUCAAUGGUUUUUUUAGUUUUUUUUUUCUUUCUCCCGUGUUUGUUUUAUUUUUUGUGCUGUGUUUUGAGCUUGGGGAGGCUUUAAUAGCCUUAUAAGCAAUGGGAAUAUGAAUAUCAAGCAAUUGUGAUUAUAAAAAGUUAGUAUUAUGGUUAUUAUAAAAAGUGACAUUAAGUCAAAAUUGUGAGUUUUUAGAAUAUUUCAAUAAUAUUUUGGUCAAAAAGUAUGUAUCAACAAUAAUAAUUUGGUCUCAGAGAAAAAUUUAGAUGAGAAAGAUACCAUUUUAGUUACUCUUACGUAUUGUUUAUUGAUGGGAAUAUCAAAAAGUUACUGGAUUGUGAUACUUGGGGAGGAAAAAUAAUACUUAUAAAAUGUAUAUUAUAUAUACAUCAUAUUCAAUUGCCUCAGAGGAAAAUACACCAGUUGAUAAUUUAUGUUACCUAUGAUUAACUAAACACCGAUUACAUCAUAUGAUCUGAACUCUGAAAUGAAAAUGGGUUCUAGGUUAAAAAAUUGUAAUCUGUGUUAAAAGACACAUCAAAGAACCAACAGAGCAGAACCAAUUUUAAUGGUUUGUUAAGAACAAGAAAUUGAAUUUAAAGAGGAAAAAAACUUGUAUUACUGAAAAAACUGAAAGAAAAUGGAUUGUAGAAUCCUCCUAUGAAGUUUCAUCUUCACAAACAUUCUUAUAUUUUAUUUUGUUUGGUAAUCUAGAGGACCUACGCCUAAAAUGAAAUGAACCAAGCGCGGAGUAGAAAUUCCCAAGCUAUGAAUCAAAAGAAACUGAUUAAUGUGAGCAUGACAACGCUCAUGAUUAAUUAAAGAAAAAAACUUAUUUUAGCAAAAGCAUCGUAAAAGCGACAAACCUUCAUCUUAUAAUCCAUUUGACGCAACCUUCUAAUGUUUUGAAUCAACCUCAUCCCAGAAACGCUGCCUUUCUUAUUAUUACGCAAAUUAGCAACCGCGACUUGAGAACCCACAUUCAGCUCAAUUCUUCUGUACCUAAAGACACCCCGUAAAAAAAAUUCCAUUCGAGGCAUGUGCUUUUGUGGUGCGUAUGUAGUGCAACAUACGCACCACAAAAGCACAUGCCUCCUUCCCUCUAACUAACUACCUUAUUUCAUCGUAACUACUCCAACUUCCCUUCAUUCUAUAUGCUAACAUGUUUCACUACAGAUUUGCUUAUCAGGCAACAUAUUUACCACAUUCAAUAAAAAAUAUCGAGCCGUGGAAAUCAACAUGAUUUCACGCUUUUGAUUCUUCAAGCUCAAGAUAAAACUCCAGUCACUUGUUAUAUCGCAAAAAAAUUCAAACCACAUAUUUUCAAUAAUCAUCAUGAAAGCGUUUAAAAAACAACAGAGGACAAGACAACUAAAAUCUAUGAAGCACAGACACUCCUUGGAUUAGGCGUGUCCCGGUGUCGACACCGACACGACACCGACACUUGUUAUUACCAUGAAUUAUGUGAUUUUUUCAAAUUAUUAGCUGUGUCGGCGUGUCAGUGUCCAUGUCAUGUCCGGUGUCCAUGUCCGUGCUUCAUAGACUAAAAUCCACAAUUUCAAAAACGAUUAAUAAAGCACGAAGGAAGCCAAGUCAAUAAAUCCUAAUUGAAGUCAACAUGACCAACCAUAAAUAUUGAGAAUUUUAAUUAUGUUUUUAUCAUUAUCAAUAUAUAUAAUCAAAUUAGCACCACAAUAAAUAUAAUUAAUUAGAUGAGUUUGAUAAAGUUUUCAAGAAAUUAAGAUGCAUGGAGAAUCAAGUAGAUGAGAAUUAAAUCAGAGAAAUAAAUAAUGUGGCUUUCAGCAACUCACUGUUUGACAAAAAAGCUGCAAAGCUUUUUAGAUGUUGCAGUUAAAUUUAAAGUCAUGGUUUCUUUCUAUCCAAUAUGUGGUGUCAUUUAAACCUUCAAAGAGAUAAUAGUGUUGUAUAUUUAUGUACAAAUAUAUAACAUAGGUCACAAGAACAAUAAACAUGAAUACCAGACCAAACAUCAUCAACAAGACAAUAAACCUCGACAGAAAUCAUUCAUAAAUGAAACGCAGACUAAGAGAUAAAAGACCGUUUAAUUAUGAAAUUCAUAAUGAUCACGAGUGAAAACAUGAACUAUGGACAAUAGACUCUGCUGAAUGAAAUCACCAUACCAAUUCUUCCAUCAAACUAAGAAAUGCUAAAAAAAAUGAAAAAAAGGAACCCACUUCCAAUUCAAAACCGUAUUGACAAGAGGCAAUACUUCACAGAAUAAGAAAUAUAGGAAACAAUAAUUAAAAAUUCUUCUUUACUGAAAGAUAAUAGAAUUUCAAUUUUUUUAUUGAUCUGAAUUUCCAUGACAGACAUUCUAUGCUUCUCAAGCAUCCAUAAUGGAAGCAAAAUACGAGCUGAGAAAAAAAUAAAAUUUUGGAAAAUUUAUGCCUUAGAAGAAAAGUCUAAAAGAACAUCACUAAUGCCCUCCCAACUUUUGAAGUUUCAUACCUGCCAAAUUAAAAAGGAAAUCCUUCUUAGAAAAUCCAAGUUCGUAAGCAAAACUGUAAAAUGGCAAUGCUCCAAAGUUCUAGUUUAUCUUAAACCAGUUUACUAACCCAUUAUUCAUAACGAAACAGAAAACCACCGCUGGAAUAUGCAUAAUUGCCACAACAGUUAAACCUACCCAACUGUGCUAUAAUCUAGCUGGAAUAAAAAACCACCAAUCUAGUCUCUAAACUACCACUCUCUCCAAUUUAGUACCUAAAUGAUAUACAUAUGAUAAGUAGUCCCGAGUAUAUGAAACCCGUAUAUGAAAAUCCUUCAAUUUAGUCCCUGACAUCUUAAUAACAGGGACUAAGUUAACAGAUUUUAUAUACUUUAAGGACUAAAUUGAAGAGUGAGCAAUAGUAGUUUAGGGACUAAAUUGAANAUCUUAAACCAGUUUACUAACCCAUUAUUCAUAACGAAACAGAAAACCACCGCUGGAAUAUGCAUAAUUGCCACAACAGUUAAACCUACCCAACUGUGCUAUAAUCUAGCUGGAAUAAAAAACCACCAAUCUAGUCUCUAAACUACCACUCUCUCCAAUUUAGUACCUAAAUGAUAUACAUAUGAUAAGUAGUCCCGAGUAUAUGAAACCCGUAUAUGAAAAUCCUUCAAUUUAGUCCCUGACAUCUUAAUAACAGGGACUAAGUUAACAGAUUUUAUAUACUUUAAGGACUAAAUUGAAGAGUGAGCAAUAGUAGUUUAGGGACUAAAUUGAAGGUUUAUUCAUUCUAGCUACUUCAUAUUAAGAAAAAAGCUAUUAUUUUUUUGUUGCCUUUGGCAUCGCUUUGAACAUAAAAUUACUAUUUUUGGUGUGAACCAGAUACCCUAAGUACGCAAUUGCAUAGACUAAUCCCUCGAGCUAGAGCCAAGGGGACCACAAUGGAUGUGCAUCAAAAUACUAUAAUGACAAUAAAUCAAUAUUGGCAUGCCAUGACCCAAAUUACCCAUAAACGUUUCUUCAGAUAAAAAAACAAACUUUAACGUGAUUCUUCAAUACCCUAUGAUUAAUUAUAUCUCUAGAAAUAAAACAAAAUCACAUCCAAUUUCAUAUUUGUAUUGUUGUUGUUGCAUGUAAUGGAAACAAAAUAUGUAAAGAACUUGACCUUGAUGAAGACAACAGCCAAGGUUUAAGCUCUUUUUCGGCGCGGUGGUUGCAAGCUCCGGCGUGGUGGUCACCGGCGAAGGUUGUCCGUUCCUGAUAUUUUUAAAUGGGUUUUGUAGAGAAGAUGGAGGGGACUCUUUUUAUGGUGAUGGAUUAAGUUUGAACUCGAUUUCGUUGUAGGAGUCCAACCCUUCACUAUAUUUAACUUGCAUUAGUGAAUGGUGAAUGUUACUUAUAUAUAUUAGAGUAAAUUACACUCCCCUCCCCUCAAAGAUGCUUGAAUUACACUUCCCUUCCUUUAAAGAUGCUUGAAUUACACUCCCCUCCCCUCUUAUGUUAUGUUAAAAUAUACACUCCCCUCCCUUGAAAAUUAAAAUUUAUACUCCCUUCUUGUGUUAAAAUAUACACUCCCCUUCCUUGAAAGUAAAAUUUAUACUCCCCUCCCUUAUAAGAUGUUUGAAUUACAACCUCCUCCCUUAAUAAUUAAAUAGGGACUACACUUUAAUCCAUUUUAACAUAAGUAAAUAUUUUUAUAAUAUAUAUUAAUUUUGAAUCACCAUUUAAAAUAUAUAAAUUCGUUUCUUUAUAAUCUAAAUUUAAAUUUAAAUAUUUUGUAAUUAAUUUUAUAAUUUAGAGUACAAAAUUCACUUUUAAAUAACUAUACUUAAUCGAUUUUAGUAAUUUUUCACAUAUUUUAAUUUUAUUUUGGGUUGUUUCAUAUUUUAUAACAGGGUUUAAAACUAUAUGUUAAUGAAUUGUGAAUAAAAAAUAGAGAAAGAUGUGUAUUCAUAAUUUGAUUAUAUUAAAAUGAACCCGCAAUGUUUUUUUUCUUUGAAGUGUGCUAGAUUAUUUCUUUGCUAGAUUAUUGGAAAUAAAAAAAAAUUAUUGAGGGAUUAAAGCGUAGAUUUUAACUUAAGAGAUGAGGGAAAUGUAAUUCAAUCUUCUCUCAAGGGAGGGGAGUGAAAUAUUUUCUAAUAUAUUUUGAAUAAGAGGGGAUGAGAGUGUAUAUUUUAACAUAAGAGGGGUGGGGAGUGUAAUUUACUCUAUAUUAUACGAUAGGAAUGCUAACAAAAUUUCUUAUUUUAAAAUCUGAACUCAGGAUUUAACUCAAGUUAUUCGGGAUGGUUCAUAGGAGUAUAUAUAUGUCCCAAAAUCUUGAUUGCAUUCUAAAAAAAAAUGUGAUGAAUAAUUGAGAACAAACAAACGUGUUAUAUUCUGCAAUGAGAAAAGUUAACAAAAUUUUAAAAAAUAUUUGCUUGCAAUUUUAAAUUCAUAAUUUUUCUGUACCAUUUAAACAAAAACCAUCUUAAAUUUUAACAACAAAAGAAAGCAAUUCUUUUAACUGUGCCAAUAAUAAUAACACACUCCAAAAGCUCAAACGGUAAAAACAUUAUUCUUUGUUAGCUAAACAUGUGAUGAUAGUAAUAAACACAUUUCUCCCCCACAAAAAAGGCAAAAGAAAAUUUUGAUGUUCCAAAAAAGAAAAAGCGCAAACGUUCACAAAAUCCCGUAACGACUGCACAAGUUCAUCUACCAUCUAAAGGGAUACUUUACCAACAAUACAGUUGACAUAAGCUUUCGGCGAUGUUUGUUCAGUAGUAAGCCUUGCGAGGAUUGUUCUGGAAAAACAAACACAAUCACAAUAUGAAAACAAGGUUACAUAGUAACUCAGACAUCACUACAAAACAAUUCAUAAUAGAAGGGGAAAUUACCAGAGGAUUUGGCCUGUGACGGUAGCCAAGCAUCAUCCGCUUUUUAUACUGCUCAUAGAUGUCAUCCUCAGGAGUCACCUCCCCAGGUUGGACAGCACCUACUCCCAAGUUAUCUUUCUUAACACUGCCUGCCAUUAUAGGAUCUGCAAUACCCUUCCUAGAGCCCCCUAGACCCUCACCUGCAUUAUCAUCAAUGUCAGCACAAGAAAGAAAUGGCAAGUAUAUAAAUGUCAUACAACAGUUAGAGCUCGAGUUGGACUCUUAAAUGCAUUCAUCGACUUGAAAGGAAAAACACUUGAAGAAAUUUUAAGCACCUUCUUUCCAACCCAUUUUUGAUAAAAGCUUGUGGCCCACAUUAUAAGCCUGAAUUUUGGCCCUCUCAGCAGCCUCCUUUGCAGCUUUCAUAGCUGCUGCAUCGUUACAGCUAGCCAAGAACUUCUCCAGUUCUUCCUGAGGAAUAUAAUCACCCAUGUGAUGGCCUUUUUUCCCUGAAGCUGAAGCUGCGUUCAAGAUAAAGCAUUCAAGAGAUUAUUACAUUUACAAAAAGAAAAUUCACAAUUCAACCUGUUCAAAUAAAAUGAAAACAAAUCCAAUAAAAACCAGGUAACAAUCACCAUCAUAAGUUGAGCCUUGAAGAGAUGGAGGAGGGGGCAUCUCAUCUUUUGAAUGCCUAGGUUGUUUGAACUUUUCUUCCUGUGCGGCUUUCUUCAUGUAAAACUCCAUUAGUGCUAAAGAAUUGGCCUUUGAUGAUCCACCGGGCUCAUCUGAACAGAUAUACAAAACGCAUGCAUCAAUAAAAUGUUGCAUACAAAGAUACAUGAGGUUCUUGACAACUGAGAGUCCUACAAACUCGGAUACAAAUAUAAUUUCCAUCCACUAAUCCUUUUGAAAACAACAUGAUGGCAGCUAAAGUAUCAUAAUGAUGGCUAAACUGCCAUGCUGUAUAAGUAUCCCUUACCCGAGCUUCCAACUGAAAAUGCUUGUCCUGCAGAUCCAGAACCCCUUGGUACGUCAGCACUAUCAUAUAAAGCAGAGGCAGGGAUUUGGUAAGUUGACUGCUGCUGGGACGAUCUCUGAGGACCAUUUGUUGGUCUGGAAGAUGGAAUGCUUGUCCCUGCUGAGGGUUAAAUUGUUCAACAUUACAAGCCAAAAUAGACUAAACCAUGUAAAGAAAAAGAGAAAACAUACUGCAGGAAUGAGAGGGAGCCUCAUCUAAUCCCAUAAAGUACAACCAAGACAACACUUCUUAUAUCUACACAUCGAUUGGCGAAUGAGGCAUGGGCAUAUGAUUUACUAAUUCAUUAUUCAAGCAUCAACCUCCCGCCAAAACAACAAUUGCAGUUAUGAAAAACAACUCUCAAGAAAUGUGAAAUUAUAUUUUCCUUCGAUGUGAGAACAGUUGCCAAGGACACCUAGCAAUGUCUUACACAUGGCUAUUUUGCAAGGCGGAGACGGGAUUUUCCCUGCCAUCCCCACCUCCACCCCCGUCCCUAGUAGGGUCAAACAAAUUGAUAAUGACCUUGUCUUCUCCCCAUUGAGGUCAGCAAAUCCCGUCAAUCUUUUUCUUAAUUUUAUUCAUAUGUGUAUGCAAGCCCAGACUUAUUGUCAUGUCUACCCAAAAAACCAAAUAGUAAAUUCAUGAAAAACACUAACCAUUUUGAUAUGCCUGUGGUUCGUUGGACUGUGAAAGGGCCUUCUCCUCUUGAGCAAGCCGAUGUUCAUAAUAUUUAUAGUCAGAACAUUUAACAUCAAAUAAAAACCUGCAUGCUCAAACAACACCACACAUUCAGUUAGAAAUUACAAAUCAUAAGCAAAAGACUGAUGCAACAGGAUUAUGAGUUAACUCCAAACAUACUUGAAAGGUGAGUCUCCAGGGUUUUUUUGCCAUGUAACAUCCUCAAAUGGCCUUCCAUUUUUAGCCACAAAACUUGCAAAUUUGUCAGCAACUUUCUUCACUGUAGGAUCACUUGGGGGAGGAGGUGCUGCAUAUCACUUAUAAAACUGAUUAAUACCAAGAGCAUGAACAAGGGAAUGGAAAUUACUCUUGUAGCAGGCGUGCCAAUACCCCAUUCUUGAUAGGUACUUGAGGAAUAAGCUGCAUUCAUGACACAAGAUAUUCAAAGACGUUUUCUCCUCUUUGCUGAAUGUCUUUUCAGUUAGCAAAGAAGGAAUAUGUGGUGAAUACUUCUUCAAUAACGAAACUGGGCUUAAUGUAGAGGACUCUACUUUUUACGAGAAGAAAACGGCUAAAAAAAUAGUGUAGAUCUUCCAUCAAAUAAAUACCUCAAGGAGUAGUUCAGGACAUGCUUCACAAAUACACCCAAGAGGACACUCAUUUUAUACACCUCUCUACUUCCUUUUUAUGAUCCAGGGGAUAAAUAUGACAAAUAAUUUUCUAUUUUAAAUCAAUACAUGUAUGUUCUUUCAUCCUCAUAUGAAAAAUAUUGUGAUGAAGGGAUAAAAUUUAUGAAUGGGGAGAUCAGCAUUCAAGAAGGAAAAAGCAAGUUUUCCAAGAUGCAAAGAGAACAAGAAAUAGGAAAGAGACAGGGAGGAAACAAAAUCAGAAAGUAGAUGCCAUCUAAGACAUAUUGAAUUGACAAAAAGCUGCAGUGAUCUGUAAGUUAGAAAGAGAGUGUAUGGCGUGCAUCAUCAGGAAACAAAAUUAUCACUAAUCCAUCAACAUGGAUAGACUUGGAAUGACCAACCAUAAUUAAAAUAUAGAAUCACUACGUAAUAAUUUUAUUGGAUAAUUCCUACCAACUAUCUUGCAUAAGAUUUGAGUGAGAAGUAAUUACCAACAUCAAGCUGUCUUGAUGAUUGCUCAAUGCCGUCAUCCUGACCCAAUUUUUGCCGUUUUGUCAGUGCAUCAAUUGAAACAUACCCAGCAUCUAUUUCAUCUUCAUCGUCAUCAGCCAACUUAACAGGGGGUGGUACUAGCUUUGACUUUUGUUUCAAGCUGAAAGCAAGUUUGCCACUGGAACCACCCUGUGAAGAUUUCUUUGCAUCAUUAGCCUUACUAAUGGAGGGUUUGGAAGUCAGAGGUCCUGAAACAACUUUAAUUGGUUUAGAGUCCUCUGGCUUGGCAUUUUUCCCCCUCUCCUGCUCUUGUUGGAGCUGCCUGAACCUCUCCAUAAACGAACCAUCAUUGACAAAGAGGGUAGGAGGUGGUCCCUUGUCCAUCGGUUAAGGUC
rnacentral:lncRNA from 1 species